rnacentral:rRNA from 1 species
UGGGGAAUAUUGCACAAUGGGCGCAAGCCUGAUGCAGCCAUGCCGCGUGUGUGAAGAAGGCCUUCGGGUUGUAAAGCACUUUCAGCGGGGAGGAAGGCGGUGAGGUUAAUAACCUCAUCGAUUGACGUUACCCGCAGAAGAAGCACCGGCUAACUACGUGCCAGCAGCCGCGGUAAUACGUAGGUGGCAAGCGUUGUCCGGAUUUAUUGGGCGUAACGCGAGCGCAGGCGGUUUCUUAAGUCUGAUGUGAAAGCCCCCGGCUCAACCGGGGAGGGUCAUUGGAAACUGGGAGACUUGAGUGCAGAAGAGGAGAGUGGAAUUCCAUGUGUAGCGGUGAAAUGCGUAGAUAUAUGGAGGAACACCAGUGGCGAAGGCGGCGCUCUGGUCUGUAACUGACGCUGAGGCGCGAAAGCGUGGGGAGCAAACAGG